CUCUCUUACUUUACUCUUUCUCAAAUGCGAUUUCUUAUCCUAUUUCACUUUUCAUCUUCUCUUCUCAAUCUCACACUUCCCUCUCUUCUCCAAACAGCCACUGCCGCCAUUACCACCAUCGUCGUCCCUCGUGCUCGCCGUGCUCAACCCUUGCCCUCUCCUUGAACAGGAUGCAAACCCCUUUUCAUCCAAAAAGCCUUCAUAGCUAGUAAAUUACUUUCUGGUAGAUGUAACAUUUGGCCAUUGUUGUAUUGGUAGAGAGAAAGUUAAGAUAUCAAGAAAGCUGAAGCAUGAAAAUAUCAUUGAAAUAUCAAGAAAAAGGGACUUCAAUUUUGAACAGAUCAUACGUUUCUUGAUAGAAAGUGAAAUCUGUUUUUGUUGAAUGAGUUACAUGAAAAUAUUUUAGUGAUAUAAUUGAUGAUUGUUUCUUACAAAGAAACAUAUACCAAACCUAGCUUAUGGAAAAUUAGUUUCACGCAUGUGACAAUUUCUGAUUGCUAGGGUGAUAUCUUUUUGAGAUCCUUGAGGAUGAUAAAUGCCUUCAUGAAGAGCAAGUUCAAGCAAUUGCAAAACAGUUGGUAAGAGCAUUGCACUACUUGCACUCUAAUCGUUUCAUCCACCGUGAUAUGAAGCCCCAGAACAUUCUUAUUGGAGUUGGAUCUGUUGUGAAGGUUUAUCCUCAACAAUAUACAUAUUGACCAUGUCUGUUUAUUAGUAGUAGUAACUUCUUUAAGUGUUAUAUAUUGUUGAGUUUGUAUGGGUAGAAAAAGAUAGAUGUAUUCUAAUCAUCGAAGAAUAUUAGCUAUGUUGUUGAUAAGCUAAAAAUUUGGAAUUUCCCACAUCAAUAAGUGGGAAGGGAAAACUGCAAAUUUGGUUCUUGCUAAUUUGGAAUUCAAUUCAAUUGUUAAUUAUAUUUUUUGUUCUUGCUGUCUAA